GAUCUGUCAACACUGGAGAAAGAGAUGAGCAACGUGACCGAAGUUGAAACCACAUCGUGCAAGUAAUGGAGACUAUAAAGGCCAUGUAGGGUGAAAAACUGAAGGUUACUGAAAUACAAGAACGUAGGGGUUGGUGUCUUGGACCCAAAUGUCAAUUAUGGGGUUAUCCAAGAAGCUGAACUUCCCAUAUCAGCCAACAAGGAAGUUCAAUUGAAUGGGACAAGAUUGGAUGAGAGUAUCCAAGAUCCAUGUUUGUUCGGCUGGAUUCCAUCUUGCUUGAAAAGAUCCUGUCGAUUCCAAAACAAAUCAAAAUUGUCAAAGGCUGGUGAUCCCUGAUUAAAUGAGGCAUACUAGUGCA